rnacentral:rRNA from 1 species
UACAGAGGUGGCAAGCGUUGUUCGGAAUUACUGGGCGUAAAGGGCGCGUAGGCGGUCUUGUAAGUCUUGUGUGAAAUCCCUCGGCUUAACUGAGGAACUGCACGGGAUACUGCGAGACUUGAGAUCGGGAGAGGGAAGGCGGAAUUCCGGUGUAGCGGGUGAAAUGCGUAGAAUAUCCGGAGGAACACCGGUGGCGAAGGGCGGCUUCCUGGACCGACACUGACGCUGAGGCGCGAAAGCUAGGGGAGCAAACGGG